GAUGAAGAACGUAGCGAAAUGCGAUAAGUAAUGUGAAUUGCAGAAUUCAGUGAAUCAUCGAAUCUUUUAACGCACAUUGCGCCCGCCAGUAUUCUGGCGGGCAUGCCUGUUCGAGCGUCAUUUCAACCAUCAAGCCCCCGGCUUGUGUUGGGGACCUGCGGCUGCCGCAGGCCCUGAAAAGCAGUGGCGGGCUCGCUGUCACACCGAGCGUAGUAGCAUACAUCUCGCUCUGGGCGUGCUGCGGGUUCCGGCCGUUAAACCACCUUCAUAACCCAAGGUUGACCUCGGAUCAGGUAGGAAGACCCGCUGAACUUAAGCAUAUCAAUAAGCGGAGGA
rnacentral:misc_RNA from 1 species